UACUGAACCUAAAGUAAUAAGCAGAAAUUCAUAGGGAUUCCAUUUCUUCCUUGAGGGUUUUAUUUAAUUAUUAUUAAUAUUUUUUUACAGUAUUGCACCCUUGGGCUUCAAGUCAGCAGCCUGAAAGGAUGAGAGGUGACAAAGGUCUGCUCCAUGGGCUAGGAAAGAUGCCUGGGUAUGAAAAUACUGGCUUGGGAAAGAAUUGAAUCUAGAAGCUGGGACCACAAACUCUGAGAAGACAAGAUGUUGCAUGACAGAGGCAACAUCUCGACCCCUGAAUUUCUGCUGGAGGAAGAGUUCCCAAAGAAAGCUUCCUGAUCCACACUAAACUGUAGUAUGAGCAAGAAAUCAAUCUUUGUUGUGUUAAUCCAACUAGAUUUAAGGCAUUAUUUGUUAUUGCAACAUGGUUAGUUGACCCUAACUAGUAAAAUUUUCAUGAUCUGUCAUUAUAGUCAUUCUUCUGCAUACACUAUAAACCUUCUUUUUUUUCCCCCCUGUAAGGUUUUCUCCAAUUAAAUUCAUGUCAUUGCUUACUCAACCCCUCCCCCAAGCAGCUAUAUAUGGCUGGAGGUGGGGCACUGACUCAGCAACAAUGCCAAUUGAUUUCUUUUCUAAAUCCGUAAACGCGAACUUCAAGUGGUUCCUUGUGCUUCUUAGCUGUUCACCUAGCUUUUUUUUCUUUAAUUUAUUCUCCAAUUUCCAAAGCCACUCUUUCAAAAUCUCUUCACUUUCCUCAAAUCAACACCUCCUCUCCCAAAUUUAUUCUCAGCUGAUAACUUGCUUCAUAUUUUACUG